GACGAACGCUGGCGGCGUGCCUAAUACAUGCAAGUCGAGCGGACUUGAAGAGAAGCUUGCUUCUCUGAUGGUUAGCGGCGGACGGGUGAGUAACACGUAGGCAACCUGCCCUUAAGACUGGGAUAACUACCGGAAACGGUAGCUAAUACCGGAUAAUUUAUUUUAUCACAUGGUGAAAUAAUGAAAGACGGAGCAAUCUGUCACUUGAGGAUGGGCCUGCGGCGCAUUAGCUAGUUGGUGAGGUAAUGGCUCACCAAGGCGACGAUGCGUAGCCGACCUGAGAGGGUGAACGGCCACACUGGGACUGAGACACGGCCCAGACUCCUACGGGAGGCAGCAGUAGGGAAUCUUCCGCAAUGGACGAAAGUCUGACGGAGCAACGCCGCGUGAGUGAUGAAGGUUUUCGGAUCGUAAAGCUCUGUUGCCAGGGAAGAACGCUUAGGAGAGUAACUGCUCCUGAGGUGACGGUACCUGAGAAGAAAGCCCCGGCUAACUACGUGCCAGCCGCCGCAGUAACAC
rnacentral:rRNA from 1 species